CAGAUCAUCCCAUUAUACAGUGACACUCCCACCUCUAACUCUGUUGUAACGUCACACCUCCCAUCACUCAGACUGACAGUCACUCUGGUCUCCCAGAUCAUUUUGCUCAGAACACAAUAAUGAUCACAGCUGGUCUGAUCAAACUCUCUGCAGCUCUGCUCUGUAUUAUAGGUCUAAUUGAUGGGAGUGAUGUCACCCAGACUCCCCUUCUGCUGUGGUGGUAUGCUGGGCAGUCUGCAACAAUGAACUGCAGUCACACUAAGGAUGCUAGUUUUUUCCAGAUGUACUGGUACAGACAGCUACCAGGGCAGAGGAUGAAGGAAAUAGUUUUCACGACUACAACUCCUCCACAUAAGUAUCAAAGUGGCUUCAGUGAAGAAAAAUUCCCAGCAACAAAGAACAAUGCUGAGACUGGAUCUUUGACAGUGAAGAAGCUGCUGUCUGAGGACAGUGGAGUGUAUUUCUGUGCUGUGAGUAAACACAGUGAUACAGGUGACUCAGACAGCUGUACAAAUACCCAACUGCUGGUGUCACAAUGAUUUGAAGACAUCAGGGUCGAAAGGGAAGCUCGAGACCUGUGAACGAUGUAAUAUUUUAUGUCAGUAUUCAGAAUGAUUUACAAUAAUAAUAUGAAAUUGUCCCACCAUGCACUCCAUACUACUGAACAUGCCGAUUUAAUUAUUACUAUAUUUAAUUACAUUCCUUUGAAUUCCUGUAAAAUUGUAUACACCUUAAAAUUUUCACUAUAAAUCUUUCUGAUUCGACUAUGUGAUGCUUUAAUAAAAAAUUUAAAAAAUCAUGUUCCCUACUUUUCAAUCAUUACCUGUAAUGUAUUGUGUGAUAGACAAAUGACUGAAUCUAGAAUAAAAAACAUUUACCAACAAA